UGCGUUCGAGUGUUGCCGUUCCAGCUGCGCUUCAUCCUUCUUCUCAUCCCGCGGGUUUAGCUCACAGGGAUUUCUAGAUUUCGUAAAACAAGGGAGGAAGAUCUAAGGAAAAAGAACUGGAGUAAUCAAUAUGAGAACCCCCAG